GCCGUGAGGGGAGCGCUCCGGUGAGCCCGGCACCGGCUGAGCCCCGGCCGUGAGGGGAGCGCUCCGGUGAGCCCGGCACCGGCUGAGCCCCGGCCGUGAGGGGAGCGCUCCGGUGAGCCCGGCACCGGCUGAGCCCCGGCCGUGAGGGGAGCGCUCCGGUGCGUUCUGCUGCCAGCUGAACCCCGUGGCUGCGGCUGUUUGCCGUAUCCCUGUCACAGCACUCUGCCCGGCUCUUCAAACCCAACCUUAGUGGGGCAGAAGUGUCAUAUGACACAGGGAUGACUGCCAAAUGUCAUCCAGUUUUGACAUAAUGCCUUGGCAGAAGACAGAGAUGCUCAAGAGGAGACACAGUAUUAAUUCUACCAGAGAAACUGGGGCUGUGAGCUACCAUGACAGCAACACACACAACAGCCAGCCUGCUGCUCCAGAGGGAAUGACAGCUUCCGAGCCAUGCAGCAGGGACUGAGGGUUCCUCCUGCAUGCAGAGACAGUCCUGCUACUGGGAAGAUGAUGAGCUGAACCUCAAGUCAAAAUCAAAGAGCUCAGCAGGUGCUGGAUCAGGACCUUAUUAAAAGUGAGCAGAUAUCUUCACCUGCUACUUCUGCUGCCCUGUCAUUGUGGUUUUAUCUACUGCCAGUCUUUGACUAUCUCAAGUAACCAAGCAUCAGAGCUUGUGACAGCUGAUCAGGAAGUCAAGGGCUUCUUUCCAACAGCUUUACAGGAUACAGAAGAACUGUAGGUAAGAGAAAGGGAGGGUAGUAAUGCUAAAAUGUGGGAAAGCACUAUUGAAAUUUUGGGGAGUUGCUUAUUAACCAUGAGCAAUAAGCACAGGUGAGAACUUUAGAGCAGAAAUUUAAUGUCCUCACCUACAAGAGGGUUUUCAGCUUCAGAGCCAGAGCUGGAGUGCAGCCAAAUAAUGACGAGUGAGAUUGUUCCUACCCUGAAAGACACACUUUGAAUAGUGUGUGUCUCUUCCUGACACAAGCCAGGCUAUGCAGGCACUUCCCAAGCACACCAAGAGAAAUCCUUCUCUUGCAGCUACCAGAAAAGACAUGCCUUCUUGCUACCCCAGCACCACUGGUGAUGCAAGCAAAGCUCACGUGUGAAAGGACCAAUAGAGUGAGACCUAAAACUGAAGCAAUACGAUUUGUUCUCAUUUACUCAGGGGUCCUUACUAGAAGUUGGCAAAAUACCUUCCUGGUCCUGACAGCAAUGGCAGUUCUUCUCCUGGCAGCACUUCCUCUCUCUGUCAAAGAAGCAAAGAGAUGUGUGCUCUGAAGGGUGGGCACCACCACCACAAAUGCACACAUAAUAGAAUUGUCAAAU